AGAGUUUGAUCAUGGCUCAGAUUGAACGCUGGCGGCAUGCCUUACACAUGCAAGUCGAACGGCAGCACGGGAGCAAUCCUGGUGGCGAGUGGCGAACGGGUGAGUAAUAUAUCGGAACGUGCCCAGUCGUGGGGGAUAACGCAGCGAAAGCUGUGCUAAUACCGCAUACGAUCUAUGGAUGAAAGCGGGGGAUCGCAAGACCUCGCGCGAUUGGAGCGGCCGAUAUCAGAUUAGGUAGUUGGUGGGGUAAAGGCUCACCAAGCCGACGAUCUGUAGCUGGUCUGAGAGGACGACCAGCCACACUGGAACUGAGACACGGUCCAGACUCCUACGGGAGGCAGCAGUGGGGAAUUUUGGACAAUGGGCGCAAGCCUGAUCCAGCAAUGCCGCGUGCAGGAUGAAGGCCUUCGGGUUGUAAACUGCUUUUGUACGGAACGAAAGGGCUCUGGUUAAUACCUGGGGCAUAUGACGGUACCGUAAGAAUAAGCACCGGCUAACUACGUGCCAGCAGCCGCGGUAAUACGUAGGGUGCGAGCGUUAAUCGGAAUUACUGGGCGUAAAGCGUGCGCAGGCGGUAAUGCAAGACAGAUGUGAAAUCCCCGGGCUUAACCUGGGAACUGCAUUUGUGACUGCAUUGCUGGAGUGCGGCAGAGGGGGAUGGAAUUCCGCGUGUAGCAGUGAAAUGCGUAGAUAUGCGGAG
rnacentral:rRNA from 1 species